UGCGUAGGCGGCGCAGCAAGUCGGGUGUGAAAUCCCCCCAGCUCAACUGGGGAAUUGCGCCCGAAACUGCUGUGCUAGAGGAAUAUAGAGGUGAGCGGAACUUAGGGUGGAGCGGUGAAAUGCGUUGAUAUCCUAAGGAACACCGGUGGCGAAAGCGGCUCACUGGGUAUUCUCUGACGCUGAGGCACGAAAGGCUAGGGAGGCAACG
rnacentral:rRNA from 1 species